rnacentral:rRNA from 1 species
AUACGGAGGGGGCUAGCGUUGUUCGGAAUUACUGGGCGUAAAGGGCGCGUAGGCGGAUCGUCAAGUCAGAGGUGAAAGCCCUGGGCUCAACCUGGGAACUGCCUUUGAAACUAACGGUCUAGAGUCCGAGAGAGGAUGGCGGAAUUCCCAGUGUAGAGGUGAAAUUCGUAGAUAUUGGGAAGAACACCAGUGGCGAAGGCGGCCAUCUGGCUCGGUUCUGACGCUGAGGCGCGAAAGCGUGGGGAGCAAACAGGAUUAGAAACCCGAGUAGUCC